GAUGAACGCUAGCUACAGGCUUAACACAUGCAAGUCGAGGGGCAGCAUGGUCUUAGCUUGCUAAGGCCGAUGGCGACCGACGCACGGGUGAGUAACACGUAUCCAACCUGCCGUCUACUCUUGGACAGCCUUCUGAAAGGAAGAUUAAUACAAGAUGGCAUCAUGAGUCCGCAUGUUCACAUGAUUAAAGGUAUUCCGGUAGACGAUGGGGAUGCGUUCCAUUAGAUAGUAGGCGGGGUAACGGCCCACCUAGUCUUCGAUGGAUAGGGGUUCUGAGAGGAAGGUCCCCCACAUUGGAACUGAGACACGGUCCAAACUCCUACGGGAGGCAGCAGUGAGGAAUAUUGGUCAAUGGGCGAGAGCCUGAACCAGCCAAGUAGCGUGAAGGACGACUGCCCUAUGGGUUGUAAACUUCUUUUAUAAAGGAAUAAAGUCGGGUAUGGAUACCCGUUGGCAUGUACUUUAUGAAUAAGGAUCGGCUAACUCCGU
rnacentral:rRNA from 1 species